rnacentral:rRNA from 1 species
AGCAGCCGCGGUAAUUCCAGCUCCAAUAGCGUAUAUUAAAGUUGUUGCAGUUAAAAAGCUCGUAGUUGAAUUUCGGGGUUAGUAGGCUGGUCGUGCCACUGGUAUGUACUGGUCUCACUGAUCCCUCCUUCCUGAUGAGCUGUAAUGCCAUUAAUUUGGUGUUGCAGGGAAUCUGGACUGUUACUUUGAAAAAAUUAGAGUGUUUAAAGCAGGCUAACGCUUGAAUACAUUAGCAUGGAAUAAUGAAAUAGGACGAUCGAACCUAUUUUGUUGGUUUCUAGGAUUGACGUAAUGAUUAAUAGGGAUAGUUGGGGGCAUUAGUAUUCAAUUGUCAGAGGUGAAAUUCUUGGGUUUAUUGAAGACUAACUACUGCGAAAGCAUUUGCCAAGGAUGUUUUCAUUAAUCAAGAACGAAAGUUAGAGGAUCGAAGACGAUCAGAUACCGUCGUAGUCUUAACCAUAAACUAUGCCGACUAGGGAUCGGAUGAUGUUAAUUUUUAAUGACUCAUUC